rnacentral:rRNA from 1 species
CCUACGGGAGGCAGCAGUGGGGAAUUUUGGGCAAUGGGCGCAAGCCUGAUCCAGCAAUGCCGCGUGAGUGAAGAAGGCCUUCGGGUUGUAAAGCUCUUUUGUCAGGGAAGAAACGGCUGAGGCUAAUAUCCUCGGCUAAUGACGGUACCUGAAGAAUAAGCACCGGCUAACUACGUGCCAGCAGCCGCGGUAAUACGUAGGGUGCAAGCGUUAAUCGGAAUUACUGGGCGUAAAGCGUGCGCAGGCGGUUUUGUAAGUCUGUCGUGAAAGCCCCGGGCUUAACCUGGGAAUUGCGAUGGAGACUGCAAGGCUUGAAUCUGGCAGAGGGGGGUAGAAUUCCACGUGUAGCAGUGAAAUGCGUAGAGAUGUGGAGGAACACCGAUGGCGAAGGCAGCCCCCUGGGUCAAGAUUGACGCUCAUGCACGAAAGCGUGGGGAGCAAGCAGGAUUAGAUACCCUGGUAGUCCACGCCCUAAACGAUGUCUACUAGUUGUCGGGUCUUAAUUGACUUGGUAACGCAGCUAACGCGUGAAGUAGACCGCCUGGGGAGUACGGUCGCAAGAUUAAAACUCAAAUGAAAUUGACGG